UUGUCGAAACCUGCCUAGCAGAACGACCCGCGAACGAGUUAAAUCAACCGUACGGGGGCCCAGGCCCCCCUCCCCGGUCGAAGGGGCGCGCGUCCUCGCGUGCUUCCCGGCCGGACGAUGAACCCCGGCGCGAUUUGCGCCAAGGAACUCACAACAAAAGCUCGGGCUGCUGUCUCCCCGGCUCCCGGGAGAGCGGUUGUCCUCGGUGCCUUUAGCAAAGAGAAAAAUUAAAACGACUCUCGGCAACGGAUAUCUCGGCUCUCGCAUCGAUGAAGAACGUAGCGAAAUGCGAUACUUGGUGUGAAUUGCAGAAUCCCGUGAACCAUCGAGUCUUUGAACGCAAGUUGCGCCCGAAGCCAUUAGGCCAAGGGCACGUCUGCCUGGGCGUCACGCAUCGCGUCGCCCCCAAACCCCGCUCCCGGCAUCGGGGCGUGGCUGCUUUGGGGGCGGAUAUUGGCCUCCCGUGGGCGACAUAGAGAACGCGGCUGGCCGAAACAAGAGUCCCCCCGAAGUGGCGGGCGUCACGACAAGUGGUGGUUGAACGGCCCCUGGCCACGGAAUUGUCCUGUCGUGCGUACGUCCAUCCGGCGGAGAGCUCCCGGCGACCCUCACGUGCCGUCCCCGACGGCGCUCCGACCGCGACCCCA
rnacentral:rRNA from 2 species